AAUAUAAUUUAAAAUUUCACUAUAUUUGGUAAAAAUAUUUUCAACAAUUUUAUUGGUUACGAGCAACCUCUCAGUUUUUAAUUAAUUACGAGCACAGUUGAGAUAUACUCAUCCUCUCGAGAAUAGAAAAAAGUUAUUUACAAUCUUGGCUUUAGCCCUCACGAGCAGCUAACACAACAGAGUUGGUAAGAAGAAAAAAGAGGAAAAGAGAAAGCUGCUAAGAGGACAAAGGGCGAGAAAUGGCGAAACGAGCAGAGAAAGAUCGAGAAAUGACGUCAGAAUCCUCACCAGUGGCUCCCAUCAUCAUCAUCAUUGUAAACCCAUCAUCAAAAUUCUGUAGAUAACUCUCUCGAUCGUACCCCUGCACCCGCAUCUCAUGUGCUCUGCACCUCCAUGACAUUAUGAUUCUCUUCUUAAUCCUUCUCCACACCAUUCUCCAUCUCCCCAUCAUCAUCUUCUUCUUCAUCUCCGGCGUCGGCGCCGCCCUGCACCUCAAGACGCCGGCUGCCACAUACACACGGCUGCUGGACCACCGCAUACAACUCAAAUCCAUUAUGGGUUUGAUUGUUUUGGGUUGGGGAGGGAGGAAGGGGAGUUUGGAGUUGGGGGUAUUAAUAACAAUGUUCAAUGUGAAAAAAAGUGAGAAAGGUCAAUACUCAUUAUUCUAUUUUAUAUUCACAAAAGGGGUUUCUGUUUUUGUGGUAACCCUAAAAAGAGGGUUCUCUUUUUCUAACUCACAUGGGAGAGAUGUUUAAUGGGUUGCAUUUGCUUUGUCUUUUCUUUAGUCAAAAUAUCAUAAAUUCUAUUCUUUUCAAUAAUAAUUGUUUGAAACAACUAUAUAUCUCAACUCAAAUAUAAUAUUAUAGUAUGUUUUAGUGAUCAACAACUAAUUAGACUUUACAUUACUUAGAUUGCCUUUGACACCGUCUCAAUCUAACUCAUUUUGUAGUCGUCAUGUGGUAAAUUGGGACGAGUGGUACGGUAUAUUCUUUCGAGUGGAAGAAAUUUAUGGAAUAUAUACCUAAGGAUAGAUAAGGAUAAGUAACUUUUAAUUUGAAACAAUCGCAAUAAUUUAAACCUAAAGUAAUCCUAAGGUUUUAAUUGAUACAACUUUAAAAAUUUAGAGAUAUACGUAGAUAUACGUGUAUAUAUAUAUAUAUAUAUAUAUAUAUAUAUAUAUAUAUAUAUAUUUAUAAUUUGGUCCUCAAUACUUUUAAUAUUUGCAUUCUUGUCCUUAUAUUUACAAAAAAAAAAAAAAAAAGUAAUCAUUUAGGAGGUGUUUGGAGGAUAUCCAUAUUGGAUUAGAAGAGCCUAAUAUUAACUUCUUGUGUUUACGAGCUGGAACAUUCUCUUAUUCCUAAUAAUCCUAUUUCAUUCCCACCUCUAUCCCCGGUUGUACUGAAAGAAAAUUCUAAAACUAAAAGUAUUGGAUCAUACGGUAGUAUUUAAAUCUUUAUUUAUUUUUUAAUUCUUCUUUUUCAAAUAACCACAUAAUGUUAACUACCUACACAACCACUCAAUUAUAGUCUACAUUCUAAAUGAUCCAGGGCUCCUUUUUUGGUUAUUGAAACUAGCCCACAACACAGUGCCAAACAUGUAAAAUUAUAAUCAGUUUAAUGCACAUUAAAAAGAUUAUAGUGUGAUUGUCUAUGCUGCUAAAUCAUGAUGUUUCAAUCAUAGUAAUUAGUAGAUCAAACUUAUACACGAAAGAAUAUAUUACUUCAUCGCACCAUUUCAACCCGAAGAAUUGAAACGGGACAAAGUAGGUGGCUAUUCAUUAGUUUCUGGGUGAUGGUCAGCCAAAACAUGAUAAAACAAACAAGGCUAAUGGAAGAGUUCCAAAGCUUUUUGAAGAUUUCAUAAGAUUUGUUUUAAUGUUAAAUAAAUAAAGCAGAGGAAAUUAUACAAAACUUACAAGGAAAGUCUCUUGCUGGGCCAUUGCUUCCAAUCCAUUACACUUGACAAAUCAGCCUCAAGUUCUUGUACAUAUCCGAACCCGCGGACGAAAAUUCUGACAAUGCCCUGAAGAGUUCUGGCAAUUGAUUCUUAAGACUCACCAGUGAUUUCUCCCUCACAUGAAGACAUUGCUUCGCAUGAGUUUCCUUUUCCUCCUCCAAUCUCUUCUUCAACGACUCUACCACAACUAACCUCUCUGUUACUGCGGCGUCCUGUGAGUUUUCUUCAGACUUCUCGGGGUCCAACUCGUCUGGCAUUCUCCGUUGCUGGUAUUUGUAAUGCCAGUCAUCAAAUUGUCUCUGCUUUCGCAUGAGCUCUUUCUCGGUCUCGUCACAUCUUAACUUCAGUUUCAUCUCUUCUUCCUGCUGCAGCAUAAUAGUACUUAUCACAGCACUGAAACUGGAUAUCGCUGUUCUAAGAUGCUCGUCUGGGAGUUUUUCGAGUUGAUCGUGCCAAGCAGUGAGGAGUCUCUGAAUGGGUGGAUUUUGAGCUCUUGGUGGAGAAGAAACCUUCUCUUUCAAGCUACUCUCUAUAGGAAUUAGAUUUAGUUUCAACCAACUGUUUAAUGCUUUAAUGUAGUCUUUUUGACGGUAUGCUAGCUUCUCGAACUGAGAAUGCCACUCUCUCACAACAUUGCAAAGCUGCACCGUACGCUCGUGGUGAUGCAGACUAGUUUCUUUUGGCGAUUGAGAGAGAUCCAGAUAUCUCAAUGCAUUCACAAUUUUCAAUUGCUCUUCAUGGUGCAUUCGCAUUGUGUCCC
rnacentral:lncRNA from 1 species